rnacentral:rRNA from 1 species
CCUACGGGUGGCAGCAGUGAGGAAUAUUGGUCAAUGGACGAGAGUCUGAACCAGCCAAGUAGCGUGAAGGAUGACUGCCCUAUGGGUUGUAAACUUCUUUUAUAUGGGAAUAAAAUGUUCCACGUGUGGGAUUUUGUAUGUACCAUAUGAAUAAGGAUCGGCUAACUCCGUGCCAGCAGCCGCGGUAAUACGGAGGAUCCGAGCGUUAUCCGGAUUUAUUGGGUUUAAAGGGAGCGUAGAUGGAUUGUUAAGUCAGUUGUGAAAGUUUGCGGCUCAACCGUAAAAUUGCAGUUGAAACUGGCAGUCUUGAGUACAGUAGAGGUGGGCGGAAUUCGUGGUGUAGCGGUGAAAUGCUUAGAUAUCACGAAGAACUCCGAUUGCGAAGGCAGUUCACUGGACUGCAACUGACACUGAGGCUCGAAAGUGUGGGUAUCAAACAGGAUUAGAUACCCGAGUAGUC